rnacentral:rRNA from 1 species
ACCGCCUGGGGAGUACGGCCGCAAGGUUAAAACUCAAAGGAAUUGACGGGGGCCCGCACAAGCAGCGGAGCAUGUGGUUUAAUUCGAAGCAACGCGAAGAACCUUACCUGGACUUGACAUCCCCUGCNUAGCUUAGAGAUAAGCGAAGCCCUUCGGGGCAGGGAACAGGUGGUGCAUGGUUGUCGUCAGCUCGUGUCGUGAGAUGUUAGGUUAAGUCCUGCAACGAGCGCAACCCUUAUUGUUAGUUGCUAACACGCAAUGGUGAGCACUCUAACGAGACUGCCGCGGUUAACGCGGAGGAAGGUGGGGAUGACGUCAAAUCAUCAUGCCCCUUAUGUCCAGGGCGACACACGUGCUACAAUGGGCAGAACAGAGAGAUGCGAAACCGCGAGGCGGAGCGAAACUCAAAAAACUGCUCUCAGUUCGGAUUGCAGGCUGAAACUCGCCUGCAUGAAGUUGGAGUUGCUAGUAAUCGCGAAUCAGCAUGUACGCGGUGAAUACGUUCCCGGGC